GUCGAACGGUUGUAGCAAUACAACCGUGGCGAACGGGUGCGUAACACGUGGAUAACCUUCCUUCAGGUGGGGAAUAACCCAGUGAAAAUUGGGCUAAUACCGCAUAACAUUUCGGGGGCACAUGCUUCUGAAUUCAAAGGCGCAAGUCGCCAGAAGAGGGAUCCGCGGCCGAUUAGCUUGUUGGCGGGGUAACGGCCCACCAAGGCAAAGAUCGGUAGCUGGACUGAGAGGUUGGCCAGCCACACUGGAACUGAGACACGGUCCAGACUCCUACGGGAGGCAGCAGUGGGGAAUCCUGCACAAUGGACGAAAGUCUGAUGCAGCAACGCCGCGUGGGGGAUGAAGCUUUUCGGAGUGUAAACCCCUUUCGACCCGGAAGAAAGCCCGCAAGGGUUUGACGGUACGGGUAUAAGAAGCCCCGGCUAACUACGUGCCAGCAGCCGCGGUAAUACGUAGGGGGCCAGCGUUGCUCGGAAUUACUGAGCGUAAAGGGUCUGUAGGCGGUGUAGCAAGUCGAGAGUGAAAUCCCUGGGCUUAACCCAGGGGCUGCUAACGAAACUGCUAUGCUAGAGUGUGAGAGGGGCAAGUGGAAUUACGGGUGUAGCGGUGAAAUGCGUAGAUAUCCGUAGGAACAUCCGAGGCGAAGGCGGCUUGCUGGAUCACAACUGACGCUGAGAGACGAAAGCUAGGGGAGCAAACAGGAUUAGAUACCCUGGUAGUCCUAGCCCUAAACCAUCAUGACUUG
rnacentral:rRNA from 1 species